AUUAAUGUUGUAUCUAUUGUAUUAGUAUAAAGAGGUAGGGGUAGAAGGGGUCCUCAUUCCGAAAUCCCUGGCUUGAAAACAAUAAAUCCUGAGGUCCCAACUUUAAAUUAAUUUAAAUCCCGACAUCGCGAAAUUAGAAAAAAAUAUUCCCUCAUCCCGAAAGGGUAAAUCCCGCAAUCCCGAGCUUAAUCACACCCGAACCCAAACUAGACCCAAAGUCCCGUUGAAGGUCCUAUCUCCUCGGGUUUUCCCCCCAU
rnacentral:lncRNA from 1 species